ensembl:lncRNA
CCUGGAGCGGGGAGCUGCGUGCCGCAAGUUUUGCCCGGAGUGCCAAAGUUGGGCUCAGCCCAGGUUCCUGGAAACUUGAGGAGCAAUCUUCUGUGCCUGAAGAAUGCAGUUCUCACCGGAUGUGUGUAUCCUACAUGAAGGGGAACAGAAGCAGGAUCAGCUGGGGUCCAGGAAAGACAACUUCAGGAGAUUUGAGAGCACUCUGGAGUGAACCAGGAGGAAGCCUUGAACUACAAUUGUGUCAAUAAGAGUGGCUGUCCUUGGGAGAUGCUGAAGCUCAGCUUUAUCAUGAACUUUUCUUACACCCCUCAACAUAUGCACAAAGGACUUAAUUUUGUUUGGGAUUCAUGUGGUAUGAAAGAGUCAUGGCUGUAUGGGUUUCUUCCUCCCUUCACUUGAUGUCUGUAUGUUUCCUGCAGUCAGUAAUGAAGUCUGUACAAGGUCUGCUGACAUUUGGUUUGCUUUCAAGAGCUCUGAGUGACAGGUACUGUAAACAUCCUACACUCUCAGCUGUGGAAACUAAGAAAGCUGGGAGAAGGCUGUUUACUCUCCCUGGCUUGGAAAUCAUCUGGAGGGCGAGGAUGGAACGUUGUGAGCUCUGUGUUCAUUGUAUUUCUGACAGCCUGUACUUCUUAUUUUAUGUUUGGUGUCAGUAAACAAAUAAUAGCAUUAUAUCAUGCCAUCAAGCUCUUGAGUUCUGACUGAGGCUUGAACUCAUAAUAAUAAUUUUAAAAAAGGGCCUUUUGUACAAUACACUUAGCUGCAGUCCUGGCUUUAGGGAAACGCAAAUGGUAGCAGUAACACACAACAAGACCUUCAUCCUUAAAUACUGGGUAAAACAGACCUAUUUUACUGUUUGUUACAAGUUAGUGUGCAUGUUUUCAGGUCCACACAUCAGUGGUGUCUUUUGUUAAAGUCCUCCUUAAAUGUUUGGGUCUUGUGUUCACUCAAUUUAUGUUUUCCUACCUAGAGAGACUAGAAACAGAUGUCUGAAGGCAAAAAAAGGGUUCUCGGGGACUUCAAGUUUCAGUUCCUAUUUGAAGAAAUUGAGAUAUCAACCCCAGGUAGCUCUGUUUUUGAAUAAACUAAAUUAAAGAUGCAAAAGUAUUUAGCUUGGGUUUUAUACUAGCUCUUCUCUGCCACCUGCCAUCCAGACUGAAUUAUUGUUUGUACUUUUCUUGGCAAUCUUUCUUCUUUCUCUCGUUUCUAUUUCCCAUUAGUUAAGUAGGGCUUCUCAUUUUAAAUGUAGAAUAAUUUUUUACUUUCAUUUUAAAUCCAAAAUCGUACUGGCAUGGACUAAAUCCUCAUAAAAUGUACUUUUACAGCUAUUCUUAAGCAGUGAUGUUGGCAGAAAUGCUAUUAUUCAUGCACUUUCUUUUUUUAAAUUUAUUGGAGGGAGCCAUCUUUUGUGCUUUCAAAGAAUUUCUUCGUAAUUCAGUUAAGUGCAAAGAUAACCUUUUCUCUAUCGUCAUAUUUAAAGAUCUGCUGCUUUAGACUUUUAGCAAAAGUAUUUAAACAAAAAAGCUCUGAUAUAAGAAAUGUCCUAAAGAUUUUAAGUAAUUGGAUUUGGGAAGUGAUGGAAGUGGAAAGAGAACAGCAGAAUGGUAGAUCUUGUAAGGUUGUGAAAUAGUACUUCUGCAAAGUGGUCAAAAAAGGGAAUUCAAACAGGCAGAUCUUUAAAGAAAAGAGGGUGGGAAAAGUCCGUGUUCUGAAGCAGUAAUUAUUUAGGAAAAGGAAGUGGAGGGAAAGAAAGUCCUGGGGUCCAGUAAAGUACCAUAGACAGGGUUUAAGAUGAUGAGAUGAGGUCUGGCUUUACAUAAACCUGAAGAACUGGUGUUCAUGAGGUUUUGACUCUUGAUAUGUACAGUGAUACUACAAGUGAGGUUAGUCUUAUAAAAAGAUGGUUUUAUGGAGAAAUGAGUUGUUCAGACUAGUAAAACGAUAGAGGGUAGCAUUUCCUAACACACGUGGUUCCCUCGGCAGAGAGAUAUCUCCAACAGUGAUGGAGCACAGAAUUCUAUCCUCCAUCCUAUGAUAAUUCUGAUUGUAGGCUGUGCUGUUGAGAACACAGUUUCUUGAAAGGAGACGUCAGCUUUAAUAUGUGUUUUACUGUCUUUUUUGUUUUUAAUAUAGAUUUGCUUUAGGCUAGGAACCGCUGUUUUCUGUCAGAUGGAAAAAUCUAUGUUUAGCAUUAUCUAUUUGCUGUCUAAUGGUGAAAUUCCAGCUUUCGUUUUAUCUGUGUAAGUUGGGACUGUUGAAGCUUUUCUCAUACGUUUUUCCUUGGCCAUUCUUUCCUGUGGUUUCACUUGUGCUGGUAUUAAUGUUUGUUUAAACAGUGAGCUUACAGUGGCUCGACUCAGCUGAAAAUUAAACAAGCAAACCAGCUUUUAUCUGGACCAGAUGAGUAAGAGCUUACUGCACUACCAUGGUGCUGUGGCCAAAAUGCUGAUACCUUCAAACAUGUCCACCUUUCUGAAGGGCUAGAACAGAUUUUGCUGUAAAUAAGACCAUCGAAUCCUAAUGCAAUGAGAGAGUGAAAACACAGGAUUUUGAAUGCUCUUGUAUUUGGCAGUAGAUUGUUCUGUUGAUGCUGUUUGAAAGCAAUUGCCAGCAUAGUGCUGAAAUAAAUUUGGAUUAAAUUAUCAUGAUUAAAACUUUUGAUUUCUUGACAGCUAUUUAUGCUUCUGUGUCUUUGAAAGAUUUGUUUAUAAAGUGUAAUAAACAAAUUGUGUUGGUAAUGAGGAGCUACCAGUAAUUUUGCUGCCUCCAGAUCUUUAACUGUAAAGGUAUCUUUGGAUAUAUUUGCACCAGACAAAGCAUUGUGUAAAUUGCAUUAUUUCUAGGUCAUGUUUCGGUCUUUUUCUGUAAGUAUCACUUACCAAGCCAAAGGCAAGCUGAACAUUCUUUUCUUGUGCAAAACUCAGAUUUCAAGGAGUUUAAGACUUUCCAAUCAACUAAACAUAGAACUUUCCUAUUGUGAAAAAACAUACUCAGCUUUUUCAAAACUGUUGCCAAUAAUGAGUUUUGGGUUGGGUCCUUAGGUAAUCUGGAGAGCUACCGCAGCAAAUUGUCUGUGGGAAAUCUGUGAUUGGAGGCAUGGGCAAAAUCUGUGAUUGUAGGCAUGGGCCUUUUGCUGGUUUUUUUUUUUUUUCUUAAUGAGUGUUCUGCUAAGAUGCAAAAGUGACUUACUCUGUGUGAUUCUUGGCACUGCUCAGGACGGUGUCAUUCUUGUGUGCUAAGCUCAACGUGUUCCUUGGAUUGGCUGAUUGACUUUUAAAUGAGGAAGAAGACAUCUUACUAAUUAACCUUUUCCUUACUGCUAAGCAUUAAAGUGUAGGGGGUGAAAAUUACAGUACUCAAAUUUAAUAUAUAUGCUUCACACACGUGAAGCAUAUAUAUUUUUUUCUAGGCUACAUUUUUGAUUAUGUAGCCCCUAGAAGUAAUUACCUAAUAUCCAGUUUUGGUAGUGUAGGGAGUGACUGUGGGAAGAAAGAGUGCUUGGGAGUCCUUGGGCAAAGCUGUCUCUUGUUUGAAGAUUGCAGCCUGACCUUGGGUUUUACAAGUGGAAUAUUAGAGAAACAUUGCAUUAGAAGUUUCAAAGAGCUGCCAGUGGGGGAAAAGGGAGGUGAAGGAGAAAGAGAGGAAGAGAUGUGGGUUACUUGUCAUACAAAGGGGGGGGGAUAAUAUCCAGCUCAUUUUCAGUGCAAAUGAUUUCUUGAUAAUACAACAAAAGAGCAACAAUUGUCCUUGAUGCUUAUACAAAAGUUGAGGAUUUCUUUUAUGCAGUAAAUCUGACUGUCAGGGACUCUAAUUCAGUGUGUGAGAAUUGAAAGGUUUGUGACAAGCUAUUGUACUUUGAAGACCUCUAUUUUAAAAUCAAAGAAAAAGAUUGCUUUGAAUGAGAGAGUGGAAGAAUAAGGCAUUAUAUGGGCUUCAGUUACAACUGCCCCUGAAAUUAGUGGAUUCUAGACUUGAAUAUUUUCUGAGCUGUGAUGGAGAUAAACAUGUAGAAGCAACUCUCUGUGUACAAAAAAUAAACAGGUGUAACAUCUAUAAUAUAUUUGGAAUGUGUAAUAGCAUUAGUUAUUUAUUAGUUAUAUAUAUAUAUAUAUAUUAGUUGUUAUAAUAUAGUUUGGAAUGUGUAAUAGCAAAGUCAACUUAGUUAAAUUUAAAACAGAGCAAACACCUUGGCUUCACUUCAUGCUUUCUUCAAACUUAGGUUUUGUUCUUUGUGCACCUUCCUGGAUGCUUUUUUUUCCUCUUAGAAAAGCACUUUACUAAACAGAAUGCUGAAGCUUCUUUUAUUCUUGUGUGCAACUUUGCUUCUUGUCAGCUCUGGGCUCUAUCCAAGACCCACUCAGCUACAGGUAGGCUUUUGUUCCCUUAUUUUGCUUUGGUUUUGUGGAUGUUAGUGUGAAUUAAAUGGAAAUAAGCUUUUGUAGCAAUUGCUUUGUGUAACGAGCAACAGUUAAACUAAUCACUGCAGUCUAUGUCUAUGAAGUGUCUCAGAAGAGAAGCUUAGGGCUUGCUUCUUUUAAAUAGUGUAUUAUGAUGGCUAAUUGCAUCUUAUCUAAUUCUUCAAGAGGGAGAGUAGAGUGAGGCUGUGUUGCCUUAGCUUUACAACACUUAACUCCCCUCCACAGGAGGAAAUAGUUCUGUUCCUGCUGCAGUUAAUGGGAAAUUCUUGUUGCUGCCUCUAUCCUGUUCUUGAGGUGCUGAAAUAAUAUGGCAGAGCAAGAGACUGUGAUCCUGGCUUUGGAGAGAACCUUUGCACUUCAUUUUCUCUUUUGUGAAAGAAAAUGAUGCUUUCUCACAAGGCGGGGUAUGGUAAACAAACAGAAAUCUCUUUUUGUGCUGAAACAUGUUGCCUAAAAUCGUAUCACUGUGUCCUAGUUUAUCUUGUUAUGUUCCAGUCUUUCACUAUGGUCUAGAGAGAUUGCAGUGCUUGGUUGUAUUACUGGAAAAGAACAAAGGACCUGACACAGGGUUAUCAUAUGUGUUGCUAAAAGUUCCUUCUUGUGCUGCUGGCAUGUUAACCUCCCACCAUGUCCAUGUUGGUGUGCAGCUCCUCUUCUAGGAGCGUGCUGGGGCGGUGCUUCAUCAAUUGCAGCACAAACGUCAGCUAUAAGCUAGCCUCUCCACCACUUGCUGACACCCUAGGCGUGCUCUUAGAUUGGGGUAGGGUUCAGGCCACCCCACUGCAUUAUUGAGGUCAGCAGGGCUAAAUCAACACUGUCGCCAGCUGAGGACUUCUGGGCUUUGUGUCAUUUAAGGCCAUCCUCGAGUUGUUUCUCAGCAUCCUGAAGCACCACCGAAAAAAUGCUGCUAAAACAACUCCAGUUGGGCACCAGUGGGGCAGUGGUGUUGAUGCAGACAAAUGAAAUAACUUAAGGAUCUGCGAAGUUCCUGUUCUUUAGAUGCCUCAAUGUAACUAUAAACUCCAUGAAUAGUUGAGCUUUGUGCAACUUGUCCAGCUUGCAGAUGUUUUUGGCGACGAUGUUUGGAGGCUGUAAUCUCAUGCUUAGUUGGUGCAGUACAGUUGAAAUGCACACAGCGAUAGAUUUUCCUUCUCCUUAGUGCUUUCCACGCUCACUGCUUUGACAGUAAUGGAGCUUCUAAUUAAGAUCUCGCAGCUUCAAUUCGUGCAAUUGAUGAAAUGUUCCAAUAUGCUCUAUGUGCAGAUUGCAUAGAAGGGCAGAUCAAAUCUAAAUGGAAACAGAGAAGGUUUUAUCACCUUGGGGUAAUUGCAUGUAGCGUGCAGCCGUUGAAAUUAGAUGUGACAAAAGCGGUUGUCUCUGUUGUCACUCAGAGCAGCUGUGGGUCACGGGGCACAGGUCUGUGAAAGCAGGGGUGACCAGGCCUGUCUGCUCCUUGACAAACAGUCUGAACUGUGUGCUCACAGUAGUGCUUGCUGUGUUUGUGUCCAGAAGCCUGUCAAGCUGACUUCUAGGGACCCUGGCCCUUCUUAUUCCCAUUAUAGUGCCCCUUGGUCCCCAGAAAGGGGCUUUCCUUUGGGGUGCUCAGCUCUUGCUUUGCUGUUUAAACAUCAGCCUUAUUUUAUGAUAGUUCUUGCUGAAGUUUGCACACUAUCUGAAAGCUUUAGCAAGUAUCCAAACCAAGGAUACUUGGUGGGAGUUGAACCCUAUUGCUGAUGCGAAUCUCUUUUCUGCUCUUUCCAGUGGCAAGCUUUAUUCUGCCAAUGUGUUCUUACCUAUGGUUUACCCAAUGUUUGUCUUUCCUGCAGAGCUGUGUGCCUGUUUGUCUAAAUGCUCCUCAGUGAGGCUUUGUUGCUCUCCAGCUCAGAGCCGGUUAGAGCUGUGGAACCGACCGCAGCCUGGGCCUGUACUGUGGUAGGAAGGGAGCACAGCUAAACUCUUGAGGACAAAAGACAAUGAAUGGACAGUAUAUAGUAAGGUUUUUUGUGAGCUGCUCAGCUCUUCCAAGUGGGGGAGGAAAAGGAUCAAAAGUGAGGAAUAUUAAAGACAAAUUGAAGCUGAUGUUUGAACUACCAGUCCAGGAAACUCCAGAUACAAACUGAAUGGAAAGUUUUCCUCUGAAGUCUACAAAGAAUUUUCAAGGACAAAUCUGAAUGGAGAACAGCAAGGAUUUUCAUCUUUGUGUACUGGAACGAAGUAGUCACUGGCAGCUGGAAAAGAAACUUCAGAUUCUUGGCAGUAAACAAAAAAAAAAGGGUCCAGCUCAGAGGCUGGGGCUGAGUAGAUUUAAAGGCUUUGAGGGGCAAAUCUAAUGGUUUGGGUACAUACAAUAGAACACAUUUAUGAAAAUGAUGACGUGGGAAAUGAAAUGUAUUAGUUAGGGCUUCAAAAUACGUAUACCUGCAUUUGGGUUCUGUGAGUACAUUUUCAGGCUGGAACAAUGCCUGAAAAUAUCUCAAACACAUUGCUUGCGCUUCAGGUUGCAGUCUGUCACUUAACUUUAAAAGAGUCAUGGAUGAUGUGCUCUGAGGUUUACAGAGAGCAAAAUCCUGGUAGGGCAGGUGUUAGGGAUGGACUCGUGCGUCCUUGAAGUGCUCCCCUCCCGCUGCAUCCCUUCCUGAACUUCUAAGGAACUCCACAAGCCUGGAUCCAUUUCAGUUCAGAUUCACCUGAAAUAAAGGUGAAUGUAUAUAGCCGUCGCCAGCAGGGUGAGGUCGUCUGCCUUAGCUUUCUAGGGUGGUUUUUAAUGUCUGAAUUUGGACUGAGACAUCAGAAGAGAUGUGCAAGGGAAGAAAGAUUCAUUUUAUUUCAAGCAGGAACAUGGACGUUUUUGUUAAUUGUCUUCUAGGACUUAACCUAUACACGACCUCAUUCUGGGAAACGUGCUCAAAUAGAACAGAAGUUUUCAAAAAAUCAUUUUAUUUUGGAUUUUUUUUAAUUGUAUUUUAAAUUUACAACCAGUUUUAAUAGUAACACACAGGUUUCAGGCAUAGACAAGUACUUCACAUUUUAGUGAAAACAAAACCCUUUUGUGGAAAUAUUCUCUACUUGAAUGAGCUGUUGGGAACUGCAGUUGGAUCCAGACUGGUAUUUGCCCGUGGACAGUGGAGGUGAAUCUGCAGCACAGGCUCAGGAACUCAGGUGGGAUAUGGGAGGCUGAGCUGUAUGUCUCUGUUCUGCCUCGUUCCCCAAGGAAAGCAGUUCUUGAGAUCUUGACAUCUUUUAACAAACAAGAAAAAACACCAGCCUGUGUGUGCUGCCCAUCCACUCUAACUUCCCAUAUUCUUUUAUUCUGACAGACUUCACUCCAUUGCUUGUUCAUGGACAAGGCAAUAGUGUUAUACUUGGAAGGCUUUGACAUACAGCCUCCUCGAAAGUGUAUUUUCUGAACUGAAUCCUCUUACUCUCAUUUCUGAAGUAGAAGCAUCCAGUUAUGCUUGGGAUACUAUUUUUUUGUGUGUGUGCAAAGGGUUGUGGUAGAAAAGAGGAAUAAGAGCUGACCGUACACAGAAAAGAAAGUAGGAAGGCGAGUAGAAAGUAGGAAAGUAGAAAGUUGAGGAGAAUUUUUUGAGAGAGCCAAAAGAACCAACUUAAUCCCAGCUGAUGCUGUCGGCCCUAUGGAGAUCAACAUUCAACAGCCAGGGCUGCCCUGUUCUGUGGCUGUGUACUGCUAUUGGUCUGCAGCUCCUGCUCCGAGGAGCUCGUCUGAUCCCACUGGGGGGAGUUCAGUACCAACUCUCAGCUGAUGUUCCAUGCCUUGGGUUUUGUAGCUGUGGUGGUUGAAAUCUGCCAACAGCAGAGCACUACACAGCUGUGCACUUGUGUUCAGAUUAAAAAAAAAUUACUUACUAAGACCAAAAAGGAAGAGAAAAGGAAAAUAGUACUGAUAAUAACGUAUAUUUGUAAAAUAAGUGAUGCAUAAUGCAAUUGCUGACUGAUGCCCUGAGCAGUGUCUGCCUCCCCUGGCCAGCUCCUGUCUCCAUGGUGUCACAAGGUAUGGAAUAUCCCUUUGGGCAAAUUAGGUCAGCUCUCCUGCCAGUGUCCCCUCCCAGCUCCUUGUGGCUUGCUGGCAGGACAGUAUGAGAACCUGAAACGUCCUUGGCUCUGCAGAGCAACAACUAAAACAUUGGUGUGUUAUUAACACUGCUUUUAUCCUAAAUCCAAAAUGUAGUAUCGUAUCAGACAACGUGGGUAAAAAAAAAAAAAAAAUCAACCAGCUGAAACAGGACAGGAGCCAAGGAACUAAAUGAUGGAAAAGAAUAGGGUGAAGGAGGUGGAUGUCCAGGCAGACAGUUCUAGAAACAGGCCCAUGGAAAGGCUUAUCUGAAGCAAUCUGAGAAUGGCUUGAGUAGAGAGAAGGCUUGGGAAAUGAAGAAAACAUUGUCCAACAGGAAGAGCAGGAGGAGCUGCUGGAGGUGAUGUGCAGCUCCCUGAGUGAGGAGUCCCCACAGUGCCUGCGCAAAAGGAUUUCAGUGCUGAUGCUGUUCUGGUACAGCAAAAGUUUGCUUUUCUUCUUUGCCACUCUGUGCAGAGAAAAAGCAAUCUAAGAUCCAGAGAAUUAAAAGAAAUCAAAUGUUUUCCUCAGUUUUCUUCAGGGCCCUUCAAGGGGGAGGACAGGUAGUAUGGCACCCCAUGCCACCCCUUCUGCCUGCACUGUGGCUGUAUGCCAGUGCAGGGUGUGUCCUUUUGGUUCCAUUGCAGUACACUGCCUCCAGGUAAAACUGAGAAUAAUUGGAGAUAAUGAUAUAGUAGUAACAACUAAAUCUUCUUGCAGUCCCAAGCACAGGUUGGGUGGAGAAUCGUCUGAGGUCAGCCCUGAGGAGAAGGAUUUGGGAGUGUUAGUUGAUGAAAGAUUCAACGUGAGCUGGAAAUGUGCACUUGCAGCCCAGAAGGCCAACUGUAUCCUGGGCUGCAUCAAGAGAAGUGUGACCGGCAGGUCGAGGGAGGGGAUUCUGCCCUUCUACUCUGCUCUCACAAGACCCCACCUGGAUUGGUAUUGCAUCCAGUUCUGGGGACCCCAACACAAGAAGGACAUGGAGUUGUUGGAGCACCUUGGAGCACCUCCUCUAUGAGGACAGGCUGAGAGAGCUGGGGCUCUUCAGCCUGGAGAAGGGAAGGCUCCAGGAGGACCUUAUAGCAGCCUUCCAGUACCUGAAGGGGUCUACAGGAAAGCAGGGAAGGGACUUUUUAUAAGGAUAUGUAGUGACAGAAUGAGGGGAAAUGGAUUUAAACUGGAAGGGGGUAGAUUUAGACUAGAUAUCAGGAAGAAAUUCUUACUGUAGGGAUGGUGAGAUGCUGGAACAAGUUGCCGUGUUUUCUAAUUCAGGACUAUGUUGCUGGAAAAGCAGAAGUGAUUUUUCUGCUUUAGAUCAAUGUGAAUGCUGUAUUCUGCUUAAUCUCCCUGUUCAUUUGGGAUUCAGGCCAUAGUUAAGGCGGUCUGAAGUGUUUUUGCAGCUAGCUAGUCCAUAAAGUACAGCACAUUUGGCCUAUUUUUGGAGGUUCUUUGAGGCAGAGAUGUUUACAACGGUUGCAUAAUGGACAGGACUUCUUUUGUAAAAAUCCUCCUCGUGUGCCAGCAUCUGGUUUCUGCAAUCUCACUGCUAAUCAGCCUGGAGGUUUUAGAAACUUUCCUUUUAUUUUAUUUUUUGGGUUUUAUUUUUUUGCCUGUCAUGUUCCCUGCUGUUGGAGGUGGGGAGAGGUGAGGCCUUCAGACCUGGCAGUAGCACAAAGCUGCUGCUUGCAUUUUUAGAGCUCUGGCCCUAAGCAGUCCAGCUGACAGAGGCCUGCUAUGUUUGCAUUUUGCAUUUUGCUGGCACUUUUCAAGUUAUUCUUGUCACCCUCUGAAUACCCUCUUUGCCCCACUGUAUUCUAGAGGGCAUGUUAGAAAAGCAGCACCAAAGGAUGAGAUGAUAAAGUCAGACCAUCUUAGAUGGCUUUCUGUGGAAGGCACUGGGACCCCAUGUCCCUUUGGUACAGGAAAGGGAAAUCUUUUAUUUGAAGAAGGCUGCAGAGAGUUUUAAAUACUAGAGCUUUGGGGAGAGCCUAUUUCACAUUUUCAUUUUGAUUAAAUUUAGCAUUGCUCAUUUUUCUGUCAAAAUUUAUAUGUUUAGGCAAUGAAUUUGAUACGCUCAGGAGAUGUGGAUCAUUUCACUUUCUGUGGUUCUUAUAAUGAAGGGUCAGGAGGAGGCAAGGCUUGGUAGCUGGCAGUACAGGGAAGUCCUGGCUUGUCUGGCACUGCAGCAUCCCAUCCAUCUGCCCAGGAUUUCUGUCUGUGUUCAGCUCAGUUAAGCAACGUGAUGGUGUUGAUUUCUGUCUGCAACAGAGGGGAUUGCGCUGGGCAGGUAUUUUGUAUUGUGCCGUCCUGCUGGGUUUUUUUUCAGUUGCUCUUUCAGAAGCUCCGAGCUCUUGCCCAGGAUAAACAACCACACUGUGCUGCUGAGUACUGUGCUUGGAACCUUCACACCCAAAUGCAGUCGUUCUAAGGAACAGCUUUGCUCUGUGGACAGACUCCUUCCUUCUGUGAGUAACAGGGUGGAUAGAGAGACAGAUUAACCUUGCACUAUACUAAAGCAACUGUAGGAACAACAAAAUGAGUGUUCACAGCUCAGGAAAAUCUGGAAUUUCAAAUAAACCCACUGCAUUGACCCAGGCACAGUUUGGCAGUUGUUGCUACAGGGUGUUCAAAUUAAACAAUGAGGUUCCUGGUGUGAUGGAAAAGACUUUGCAAAGCACAUUGGUUCCUCCAGGAUCCAAAUGCACUUUCCCUUUCCAAGGGGAGCUGUGGGCAUUUGGAUCCUUGCAGAGAAGUUCCUGAGGCCCUCUAUCAGCAAAACACUUUUAAGCAUGUCCUUAAGCACUUUGUUGAUGAAGGGGAGACAUGAACUCUUAAUUAUCUGUGCUGAAUAAUAAUCUGAGAGGUUACUUGAGUAUCUUUUCUAACACUUAUACUCUAGCUCUGCCCCAAAAGGCUGAGCCCAAGAGGCCAGUGCUUUACCCUCCGGCUGCAUUUGCCUUCUGUGAACGCGCUCACUAGCCUUCAAGUAAAUGGGGCCGAUAUCUGUCUCUCUGUAGGAAUUUUGCCUGUCCUGAGUGCUUACCAGCUUAGAAGAAUAGACAUUGUGCCUUAUUCAGCUUUAACGGGAGCAGUGUCCAUCUUAUCCAAAUACCGCCGAGUGGGGGGUUAUUAAAUCAUCUGAAGGAAAAAUGAAGAAUGAAGCUAGAAGGGGAUCUGGCUUUCCCUUUCACAUGCUCACAUCUGUAGCAGAAGUGUUGGUGGAUGCCUCAGCCCUACGGCACAGCUGGCACUUUGGAGCCCUUCAUGGGAGGCAAAGAAAGAAAGAAAAGAAACACCCCCAUUCCCCCACCAAAGCAGCGAGUGAUUGCAGCUGUUCUCGAGAAGGGUUGUGUCAGCACAACGUGCAUAGCCCUACUCAGAAAGUUGGUGUCAGCAGCCGUAAAAGCUGGCCUGUCAGCAUUUCUGUUGUAUUUCAUACACAAGAUGCAUGUUACUGAACAAUUACACCGAAGGCGGAGAAUAUUCCUUGGGAACACAACUUGGAAGUAGCAUCUUCCUGUGGGAACAGUUCAGACUGUGUGCUGCAGAAACCUGAGUGGUUUGGAUGCAAGGCCUUGCUGCUGGGGCUCACUGCAAGCUGUGUGGGCUGCCAAAGCCAUAGUGCCACAGCCCAGCCGGGAGCCUCAGCCCAUGUAAUUAGUCAGGUCCUGGUAAUUCUAAUGAGCUUCUGAUCAUGCCAACACAUUCAGUGUGAGGGAAGCUGGGUGAUGCUUAAGUUUUUGGCCUCCGAAGCCUUCGGAGGGUAUAUAUAACUCUAGCUUUGUCUACCGGUCUCAAUGUGUCAUUGUGCUGUAGCCACUUUAAAGGGCAGGAUGGAGAGCUGGGAUGGAGUUCUCAUCUCUGCUUACUGGGAAGCAGAAAUUAAUUAAGGAAAAAGCAAAAACCAAACCCAAAGCAAGCAAAAAGUCAUGCUCAGAGUAGUUAAGGAAGCAGGAGGAAAGGAGCAUAAAAUCCCCAGGCACUCGCUGUUGAUUUGAUCUCUAUCUGUGUACAGGAGCCUGACUAAUUAAUUACAUGUGGCUCCAAGUCUGUUUUCUGGAUCUCUUGCAGACCUCUGGAUGCUGCAGUGAUCCCAGUCGGCACAGAAGCUGCUAUGAUGCUGAGAUGUGUCUUACCACGUGUUGCCCACCUCCCAGCAUAGAGCUGCACAGAGCAGCAGGAUGCAUGAGGCUCUCCCUCCUCAACAGCCCUCAGUGGUGCUCCUAUGGGUUUGGGUGCUCGUGUGAGGCAGUGAGAGGAGUAUGAGGAGUGCUGCGUUCUGCUGGGUUACUGGUGCUGGGCAGAAACUUCAGCCCUAGGGGGGUGUAAGGCCUCAACAUUACUUUAUAGUAUAUGUACAUCUAGGAAACAAGGAACUACCACUAAUAACAGCAAAGUCUGUACCAAGAGCUCUGCAGCAGACAUCUGACCACAGCCGAAGCCACAUUUAAAGCAAGGCAGUGUCUCUGUAAGAGCUAACAUCAGUAUAACAAAGUGAUGCCAGAGGGAACAAGUUAGGAGAAAUGUUUCCAUGGAGUGGUAGUUGGUUUCUUUUCUCUUCCCCCCCGCACCCCUCUCUCCUUUCUUUUCCUUACAUCUUCCUAUUAUUUUUUUCAUCUUCAAUUCGUACUUAAACCUUUCCAACCUUUCUGAGAGUCAGGAGAAUGGUUCUGAGAGUCAGGAGCCCCUCAGAAAAGGUCAGACAACCCAAGUGCACGGCAUUCUGGCUUUCCCAUGGGCCUUCCAGUAGUAUGGCACUCAGUCAAAGCAAACAUGAAUUUUAUCUGUCAGAAGCAAGCUUUAAAGCUCGGUGAUGUGUCUAUAGCUUAAGGUACUUUUACUUUUUUGUGUUGUACAGGUUUUAUUUCUCUCCAUUAAACAUAAGCAGUCUUUUGUUUUCCUUCAUGAACCUGGUCAUUUUUCUAUACGUUUCGAUGAGAAUUGCAUUGGGCUUCUCCCUGCCUUUCGUAGGGCAGCAUUGAUCUUUUUCCAUUUUGGAGAGAGCUGAAUAGAUGGCUAUGUCUAACGAGAGGAGCUUAUCCUUUGUGUUUACAGUUCAUUUCAGGAUAUCUUUCAGUAUGACUGAUCUAUAAAUGCUAAUUGUGGGUGAGGCACGUGGUAGGGGGACUUCUGCAGUCUUGCAGUUUAUGUAUAGGCAAUGCAUAUUGCUCUUCCUAAGGUUAAUAACAGAACUGAUUUUUGUGUGUUGCUCUUCUGAGAGCAACUCAAUCAUUAAUUUUUAGGCAUACGUGCAGGCAGAAUCCUGUUCAUCUCACAAAAUACAAAUAAAUGCUCUGAGGGCUAACUGCAGGAGUUUCUGUAUAAGCUAAAGCUUAACUCUGUAGGACACCACCCCAUCCCCCACCCAGGAACUGAGCGGAUCAUCACGCCCAGCGUUUGUUUUCAACACCACCUUUGUGAAAGCACCUCAGCACAUCUGACUUGCAGGUUGCCUUCUCCCAUGUAGGCUCAUGGUGUCUCACGCUGCCCAGUUAGAGUGCUGGGUACCGUGGGGUUUUCACGACCUUCCUCAUCUGUCUGCAUGUCCUCCCUCGAGUUAUCUGGAAGCUGAGAUGUCUUCUCCACUGGUGUCCUUGAAGUGGGUUAAACUGGAGGACGGAAGCUCCCGAGAGUUUCUAAUGCUGUGGUCUUCCGACAACUCAAAUGAUUUUGGUGACUCAUAAGGAGACACAAAGGCCACCUUUUUCUCUGACUGUGAAAAUCAGAUGGCAAAACCCAACAAAUUAGGCCUGAAAGAACAGAAAAACCUCUCUUUGGUUGCCUGGGAGGGAGGAAAGGAUGGGGAUCAAUGGAUUCACUACAAAAGCAGUCACAAAGUUUCCUUUCUGUCCUGUCAUCCGUAGUGUCUUCAAAAACACUUCUUCCUGAGACAGAGCUUGAACUGGUUCUUUUUCAACUUCAGCCCUUUACGCUAUUACAACUAAUCCCCAGUGGAAAUAUUUCUUUUCCUUUCAUUACUUUUUGUGCGAAUAUUUAUACAGUUAUCUCGCUGUUUCCUUUAAUUUGUAUCCCUUUAGACCAAAUAAAUUUAGUUGCUGUCAUCUUGCUUUCAAAGUUGUAUUCUUAAGUAAUAAAGCAACGUUAAAUAUAGUUGGAAACAGACAACAUGAUGCACCUGAGGCUUCACAAUAAUUCAUGCUUUUGGACACAAUAGUGUCCAUUUUACUAAGACCAGCAAUACACUGCUGUGAAUGAGUCCCUUGUCAGGAGUUUUUGAGCAUUUGAAAUAACAGCUGUCUUUUAAAAUAAUUACGUGUGCGUGGCGUAAAAGCCUAUGUUUGAGAUUUUAUGUAAAUUCUCCAUCCUGUUUUAAAAGUAAUUACAGUGAGAACUUGGAUAUUUAAUUUUUAAACACUGAAUUAAUUUUUUUUUCCUUUUUCUUGUUUGAGCACCGUGCAAUAGCUUGGAAACUCCUGUGACAUCUGACAAGGGACUUCACGGUUCCUGAUGGAACGUGUUGCACGCUCCCUCACAUCCUGCUCUGGCAACAGUAACGCCAUUCAUCCUCCAGCAAGUGGGGCUGGGAGGAAGUCCAGGGAUUAUAGGAUGCAUAAAUUUUUGAAGAUGAGAGAGUUCCUGUGAUUCAUUCCUGGGCUCCAGUGGCCCUGUCUGGACAUCUGGGAUACCUCAGAGAAUCUCAGCGGCACUGGAAGCUACUUCACCUUGAAGCUGGAGUCAGAGAAGAGGACUCUGCUCAACCCUGACUUACUCAAUAGCCUUUACUCUUCUCUUGUCUUUUUGAAGAACGGGUUUGUAGGGACAAGCUGAUAGCAGUCCAUUCCACCUUCAGGAAACCAUAUCUGUGACUCAGCUCAGCAGGGAACAGAUACAGCAGGAGCUACCCAUCAGAACGUCUCACAAACACAUCAACCAUCACCAGCUUUCACCCCACCAUCUGAGCGCCAACCUCAUUAAAUCUCAGGACUGCAUAAAGGAAUACUGAUGCUGGAAGGAGGUUUAAAUCAUAUAUUGGUGGAUAGCUGACGGCACUGAGAGCCUGUGGUCUGUGAACAUACUGAAUUAUCAAGCUCCUUAAAGAAGUAAUGAAUACUGCUCAUACUAUCUGCAACAAGCAUUCCUUUGUAAAACAGAUGAAAGAGCACACCAAAGCCAUGAUAGUGGAGCUGUGUCUGCUGAAAAAACAGUGCUGAGGAUGAUUUCUCCUACUCGACACUUUUAGACCUAAAACUAUGCUGUGGGAUUUGGUUUUGGUUUGUUUGCUUGCUUGCUUUUGGCAUGCUCUCAGAACUACAGAUUAUUUGGCAGCUGAAGGCCAGCUAUGAGUUGUGUUGCAGGGUGACACAUUUCAUGGAAAUUUAAUGCAAAUAGCAAUCAUUCUCAUCAGGAGCAGAAACAGGAGAUCUCUCGCCUUUCUAGCAACUGCAGACACCUGCAUGAGAGUGAACUGCAUGAGAGUGAAUUGCUUGUGUCAAGCCAGCUGCCUUACAAAACAUCCAGCACAAUGGAUGCUUUUUACGACCAACAAACUUAAAAUUACAGCUCUUGUAUGCCUGGAAACCUUUAUUUCAUUUUCAUACUGUUUCCUUUGAAGAAUUUAUUAAUGCAUGCAAACAUGUAGCGUGUUCUUUUAACCUGUGUUUGCUGCAAUGUUUACAUUAUCUCCUGAUCUUAACCUGUAGCUUCCCAUUACGAAGACAUGUUACCAUAAAACACCACAAGGCAAAAAAAUGCCAUUGUUUUAAUGUUCUGCAAGUGUGCUACAAGUAAACUGUGCUGUACUGAACUCGGUCAAAAUACUCAAUGCAUUCUGAGCACACUACCACCAAUAUAUUGGUGGCCCACUUUGCCACACGCAGAAGGACAAUGAUGUGCUUAUUGACUCAUCUCUUUAUUCUGAACAGAGGGAACUCACUUGGAUGCCACUGGUCCAUUCAGCCCGGCCAAACACUGGUUUAAAAAACAGUGAUGUCUUUCCCAAGCACAUCAGAGGCUGCCUGUACUGUACAGAGGCUGCAAAGGGUUCAGGCUGUACUACGGGAUGUUACAAAGAUAAGCAAGCUGAUUUUGGAAUAUUGCACACACUUACCGUAUUCAGAUGAUUUUAGUUACUGCACCAGACUCCUAAAGUGAAUAUUCUUUAGGAUUACUUGUUAAGGCAUAACUCAGCUUGCCCAUAUCAGAAGAGUUUUCUAUACUUUGUUCACUCUUCAGCAUCACCUGCAGUAGUAUUACAGCUCUUCAACUUGCCACCUUGCAUGCUCCAUUCAGGUGACAAGAACACUUAAUGGCACUGAGCAGAUAAAGGGCUGGAGGGCUUUUACAGGCUCUACUAAAGUGCUUUCUUCAGACUAGAAGUGCACAAUACCACGGUGAUAAGGCUGUCCUGUGCUGAUCUAAGGAAGCCUCUGAUAAGGAAUAUAAUAGGAGCAAUAGGUAAGAUUAAAAAAAAAAAAACUUUCAUUCCAAAAACUGUGUAUCUGUGUAUACCAACUGCUUACAGAGUUUUCUCUGAAGCUCAUGUUUGCAAAGUGUUGCAUGCUUCAGCUCCAUCUUAAAUGGUUUCAUGCCACAAACUGUGGGCCAUUUAUUGCUCAUCACUCCAAAGCCAUUGAACUCUUCAGCUGGGCAGUCUGCUCUCUCCAGCCUUCCUACUGAGAAUAAACAAGAAAUUGGCAGGGAUGGGGAGAAGGGGACAUCAAAGAGUGCCAGGAAGGGCCAACACAGAACAGCCCUACCCUAUGCAGCCAGGGACUGGGCUGGUGUUUUAGCACUAUGCACAAUAGUUUAGCUAUGUGAAUCAGCCCACACAGCUGUAAAAAUCACUGGACCCGUGAUAAGAAAAUGAAAGACAGUACUGUUGAUGGUUUCUGGGUUCACUUGUUUGCUUUUAUAUCUCACUCUCUGUAUAGCUGCCUUAAUCACAAGCUAAAAGCCUUGUGAAGGAUCAGCGACCUAAAUAAAAACUGCAUCUCUGAUUAAUUUCACCAGCUUUUUUAUUUAUACGGGUUUCGUACAGGUGAUAUACAAAGCACGAUACAGGCUAGGAUAGACAGCAGGUGGUGGCAGUCCCUGCCUGCAGGUAGUCAUCCCACCCACACUGAAUGACCUUGUGCCACCUCCAAGUGGGACUGACUGCUGCGGAGUUUGACAGAGGUAAUGGUGGCAGCCACCUCCAAAUCGUCCAUGGUGAACCACAUAAGAUCCACAAUUGUCCUCCUGAGAGCAAAGUACAGAACUGCACAAAUGUCUAUCAUUUAACAUUGACAUUUUUUACUUUGUAGGAAUCCAAUGAGUUCCAUGAGUCAUGUCAAGCAUGACGUAAAUUAGAUCUUUGAAAUAGCUGCGCUGCACCAUCCUGACUACAUAAAUUCACUCAGUCACGUGCAAAAACUCAGUUAAGAAAGACCAGGGUUGGCUGUCUUGAAAACAGACAAAAGGUUUGCUGACAAUAUCCUUU